CAACCUGCCGAUGACUCGGGGAUAGCCUUUCGAAAGAAAGAUUAAUACCCGAUGGCAUAGUUCUUCCGCAUGGUAGAACUAUUAAAGAAUUUCGGUCAUCGAUGGGGAUGCGUUCCAUUAGGUUGUUGGCGGGGUAACGGCCCACCAAGCCUUCGAUGGAUAGGGGUUCUGAGAGGAAGGUCCCCCACAUUGGAACUGAGACACGGUCCAAACUCCUACGGGAGGCAGCAGUGAGGAAUAUUGGUCAAUGGACGAGAGUCUGAACCAGCCAAGUAGCGUGAAGGAUGACUGCCCUAUGGGUUGUAAACUUCUUUUAUACGGGAAUAAAGUGGUCCACGUGUGGAUUUUUGUAUGUACCGUAUGAAUAAGGAUCGGCUAACUCCGUGCCAGCAGCCGCGGUAAUACGGAGGAUCCGAGCGUUAUCCGGAUUUAUUGGGUUUAAAGGGAGCGUAGGUGGACAGUUAAGUCAGUUGUGAAAGUUUGCGGCUCAACCGUAAAAUUGCAGUUGAUACUGGCUGUCUUGAGUACAGUAGAGGUGGGCGGAAUUCGUGGUGUAGCGGUGAAAUGCUUAGAUAUCACGAAGAACUCCGAUUG
rnacentral:rRNA from 1 species